GAUGAACGCUGGCGGCGUGCCUAACACAUGCAAGUCGAACGGGUGUACGGGAUGGAAGGCUCCGGCCGGAAGCCCCGUGCAUGAGUGGCGGACGGGUGAGUAACGCGUGGGCAACCUGCCCUGUACAGGGGGACAACACUUAGAAAUAGGUGCUAAUACCGCAUAACGGGGGGAGCCGCAUGGCUUUCCCCUGAAAACUCCGGUGGUACAGGAUGGGCCCGCGUCUGAUUAGCUUGUUGGCAGGGUAACGGCCUACCAAGGCGACGAUCAGUAGCCGGCCUGAGAGGGCGGACGGCCACACUGGGACUGAGACACGGCCCAG
rnacentral:rRNA from 1 species